UACGAAGGGUGCAAGCGUUAAUCGGGAUUACUGGGCGUAAAGGGUGCGUAGGCGGUUGUUUAAGUCUGUCGUGAAAUCCCCGGGCUUAACCUGGGAAUGGCAUUUGGGACUGCAAGGCUCGAGUGCGGCAGAGGAGACUGGAAUUCCUGGUGUAGCAGUGAAAUGCGUAGAUAUCAGGAGGAACACCGAUGGCGAAGGCAGGUCUCUGGGCUGACACUGACGCUCAUGCACGAAAGCGUGGGGAGCAAACGAAGGAU
rnacentral:rRNA from 1 species